AGACUUCUUAAAUCGAGCUGUUGAUGGCGCUUAAUAGGGCGGAAAAUCUGUCUCUGUCAAAUGAAACCUCCUGCUCUCUGUUACUGUGGAUAUUUGAAAGGUCCAUUGGAUUUACUCAUAUGUUCAUCAUGGACAACAUGCAGCGUGUAGCUACAGCUUUCAAUACCAGUGUUGUCCUGAAUACAGCUGCUGGUAUCGACGCAGCUCUGUCUUUUGUGGGUAAAGCAGUCUGGACUGGUUGAAGCCGAGUGGGAAGGAUUAUUUUGGAAGUGUUUCAGUCUGCCGUGAAUCAUCAUUAUCCAUACACCGCAUAAACCUGCUCUCCACCAUCAGUACAAGGAGAUGAUCAAGGGUGAACAAGAAACACUUCAGCUUUAAUUGCCUGGAGCCUGGUGUUGUUGUGGCCAAGAAGCUUCCACUCAGAUGGAACCAGGUUUCAGCUGCUGUGCAACGUUGAUGUCCUUCCUACCAGAGAUGUGAAAGCAUCCCCCCCCGGACUGGACACAACCCGGCAAACAUAUUGAGAAGAUCAGGACUUUUGCAAUGAAAAUAGCAUGGACAUUACAUGUCCUGCACCAAAAGGGCAGGACAGAAAUAUGCUCUCAGGCUCGAUUGGUUCAUGUUAUGAUAUGGACAAAGCAAAGUUACUCAAGAGUUUAUGAUCUAGGACUAGAUAGUGUUUUUACCUUUGUGUUUUAAGUUUUUCCUAAUUGUAGACUAUUAACUUCAAGUGCUACAGGUAGUCACGCAUUUUAUUGUUGAAAUCUUUUCAGUUUUUUUAAGCACGACCUCCCUGCUUUAGCACAUGGCCACAGUCACAUGCUUCCAAAUGUAUUAUUUAAGAGAUGGGUGGGUCUAAAGCUUCCAAUAAUAAAUUGGUGUAAAACAAUCAGAACACAGGCCAUAUAAAAAAUAAAAAUAAAAUAAAAAAAUACUUGUUUCUGCAUCCCCAAAUUCUGCACAAGGCAAAAAUAAAUGGCUACACGUCAACUGUUCGUUCAGUGCAGCAGCCUGCGGGUGUGUAGUGCUGCCAGAGCUCCGCCACUUCUCACAACGGUGCUCCUUUAGUAAAGUUGCAUAACAGUGCGCGCCUCUAGGCAGAAUGUGCUUUGAUUGAAACAAAAUACAGGAAGUAUAGUAUAGUUUAACACCAGCUGUUCUAAUUUGCUCACAAAACAGUAAUUCAAGAAGAUCUAAAUGCAUAUGUAAAUGCUGCCAAAUGGUUUUAUUCAUGUAGUAUUCACCCCCAGGAAGAAUGUAGUAUUCACGACAACCCCAGGAAGAAUGUAGUACCCCCAGGACAC